rnacentral:tRNA from 1 species
GUGGAUAUAGCUCAGUGGUAAAGCAUUCGCCUGCAGAUCGAGAGGUCCCUGGUUCAAAUCUGGGUGUCCCCU